GGUUAAGCGACUAAGCGUACACGGUGGAUGCCCUGGCAGUCAGAGGCGAUGAAGGACGUGCUAAUCUGCGAUAAGCGUCGGUAAGGUGAUAUGAACCGUUAUAACCGGCGAUUUCCGAAUGGGGAAACCCAGUGUGAUCCGUCACACUAUCAUUACGUGAAUACAUAGCGUAAUGAAGCGAACCGGGGGAACUGAAACAUCUAAGUACCCCGAGGAAAAGAAAUCAACCGAGAUUCCCCCAGUAGCGGCGAGCGAACGGGGAGCAGCCCAGAGUCUGAAUCAGCUUGUGUGUUAGUGGAACGGUCUGGAAAGUCCGACGGUACAGGGUGAUAGUCCCGUACACCAAAAUGCACAGGUUGUGAACUCGAAGAGUAGGGCGGGACACGUGGUAUCCUGUCUGAAUAUGGGGGGACCAUCCUCCAAGGCUAAAUACUCCUGACUGACCGAUAGUGAACCAGUACCGUGAGGGAAAGGCGAAAAGAACCCCGGCGAGGGGAGUGAAAAAGAACCUGAAACCGUGUACGUACAAGCAGUGGGAGCCUCUUUAUGGGGUGACUGCGUACCUUUUGUAUAAUGGGUCAGCGACUUAUAUUCUGUAGCAAGGUUAACCGUAUAGGGGAGCCGAAGGGAAACCGAGUCUUAACUGGGCGUUAAGUUGCAGGGUAUAGACCCGAAACCCGGUGAUCUAGCCAUGGGCAGGUUGAAGGUUGGGUAACACUAACUGGAGGACCGAACCGACUAAUGUUGAAAAAUUAGCGGAUGACUUGUGGCUGGGGGUGAAAGGCCAAUCAAACCGGGAGAUAGCUGGUUCUCCCCGAAAGCUAUUUAGGUAGCGCCUCGUGAAUUCAUCUUCGGGGGUAGAGCACUGUUUCGGCUAGGGGGUCAUCCCGACUUACCAACCCGAUGCAAACUGCGAAUACCGAAGAAUGUUAUCACGGGAGACACACGGCGGGUGCUAACGUCCGUCGUGAAGAGGGAAACAACCCAGACCGCCAGCUAAGGUCCCAAAGUCAUGGUUAAGUGGGAAACGAUGUGGGAAGGCACAGACAGCCAGGAUGUUGGCUUAGAAGCAGCCAUCAUUUAAAGAAAGCGUAAUAGCUCACUGGUCGAGUCGGCCUGCGCGGAAGAUGUAACGGGGCUAAACCAUGCACCGAAGCUGCGGCAGCGACACUAUGUGUUGUUGGGUAGGGGAGCGUUCUGUAAGCCGUUGAAGGUGUACUGUGAGGUAUGCUGGAGGUAUCAGAAGUGCGAAUGCUGACAUAAGUAACGAUAAUGCGGGUGAAAAACCCGCACGCCGGAAGACCAAGGGUUCCUGUCCAACGUUAAUCGGGGCAGGGUGAGUCGACCCCUAAGGCGAGGCCGAAAGGCGUAGUCGAUGGGAAACAGGUUAAUAUUCCUGUACUUGGUGUUACUGCGAAGGGGGGACGGAGAAGGCUAUGUUAGCCGGGCGACGGUUGUCCCGGUUUAAGCAUGUAGGCGGAGGUUCCAGGUAAAUCCGGUACCUUUUUAACGCUGAGGUGUGAUGACGAGGCACUACGGUGCUGAAGUAACAAAUGCCCUGCUUCCAGGAAAAGCCUCUAAGCAUCAGGUAACACGAAAUCGUACCCCAAACCGACACAGGUGGUCAGGUAGAGAAUACCAAGGCGCUUGAGAGAACUCGGGUGAAGGAACUAGGCAAAAUGGUGCCGUAACUUCGGGAGAAGGCACGCUGAUAUGUAGGUGAAGCGGUUUACCCGUGGAGCUGAAAUCAGUCGAAGAUACCAGCUGGCUGCAACUGUUUAUUAAAAACACAGCACUGUGCAAACACGAAAGUGGACGUAUACGGUGUGACGCCUGCCCGGUGCCGGAAGGUUAAUUGAUGGGGUUAUCCGUAAGGAGAAGCUCUUGAUCGAAGCCCCGGUAAACGGCGGCCGUAACUAUAACGGUCCUAAGGUAGCGAAAUUCCUUGUCGGGUAAGUUCCGACCUGCACGAAUGGCGUAAUGAUGGCCAGGCUGUCUCCACCCGAGACUCAGUGAAAUUGAACUCGCUGUGAAGAUGCAGUGUACCCGCGGCAAGACGGAAAGACCCCGUGAACCUUUACUAUAGCUUGACACUGAACACUGGUCCUUGAUGUGUAGGAUAGGUGGGAGGCUUUGAAGUGUGGACGCCAGUCUGCAUGGAGCCAUCCUUGAAAUACCACCCUUUAAUGGCUGGUGUUCUAACGUGGACCCGU
rnacentral:rRNA from 1 species